rnacentral:rRNA from 1 species
GACGAACGCUGGCGGCGUGCUUAACACAUGCAAGUCGAACGGAAAGGCCUGCUUUCUCUUGUGGAUUGCGGGGACGCGAGUGGCUAACGGGCGAGUAAAACGUGAGUGUUCUGCCCCCAACUUGGGUAUAAGCCUGGGAAACUGGGUCUAAUUCCCUAUUGGACUGCAGGGUGGUGCCUGUAGUGGAGAACGUUUUUCUAGUGGUUGGGGAUGAGCUCCUGGCCUAUCAGCUUGUUGGUGGGGUAAUGUCCUACCAAGGCGGCGACGGGUAGCCGGCCUGGGAGGGUGGACGGGCACAUUGGGACUGAGAUACGGCCCAGACUGCUGCGGGAGGCAGCAGUGGGGACUAAUGGGGAGGGGGCGGAAGCCUGAGGCAGCGACGCAGCGUGGGGGAUGACGGGCUUGGGGUUGUAAGCUCCUUUCGAACGCGAGGAAGCCACCUGGUUGGAAGGGUGGUGACGGUAGUGGUAGAAGAAGCACCGGCUAACUACGUG